rnacentral:lncRNA from 1 species
AAUCAGACCUUUAAAAAGGGGACUAAGAGUCCAUGCCCAGGGAAUGGUUUCUCUCUCUUCCGCUGGACUUUAACAAGCAAGCACAUGACGGGCUUCAUCAGUCCUGGACGAGAAAGCUGAGAUGAAAAUAACUUGAGUCUUGGAUGAAAUCAGUGACCCUAUGAUAUCAUCACAUCUAGAGCUGACUCUAACUGGACUUCCAGCUAUUUCCAGGACAUAUUCAAGCAGAGUUUGGAUAACCACCUGCCAAAGAUCUGUAUUGGGUGGGAAGUUGGUUCAUACCUGUCUUAAUUGUCCAAGAUUCUAUUCUUCACCUAGAUUAUCUCUGUAAAUCAUGAAGUGCUUACUAAAAGUAUUAUAUCCAAAUGAAUAUUCAAGUAAAAAUAUAAACAAUAAAAUAAUAGAGAAUGCUAAUAACAGUGCUAAA